UGCAUCGAUGAAGAACGCAGCGAAAUGCGAUACUUGGUGUGAAUUGCAGAAUCCCGUGAACCAUCGAGUCUUUGAACGCAAGUUGCGCCUGAAGCCAUCAGGCUAAAGGCACGUCUGCUUGGGCGUCACACAAUAUGUCACCCAUAUACUUAGUGCCUGUUAGGGCUCGGCUAAUGCAUGGCUGGAUGUUGGCCUCCCGUGAUAUUCUUGUGCAUGGUUGGUCUAAAAAUUGAGUCCUCAAUCAUGGACAUCACAACUAGUGGUGGUUUUUUUAACUAUUGCGCCGUGUUGUGUAUGUCUUUGUCAUGUAGGAUUAUUUCUUUGACCCAAAAGUACCAUGAUUAUAGUAUCUUGACUGCGACCCCAGGUUAGGCGG
rnacentral:misc_RNA from 1 species